CCUACGGGGGGCAGCAGUGGGGAAUAUUGGACAAUGGGCGAAAGCCUGAUCCAGCCAUGCCGCGUGUGUGAAGAAGGCCUUCGGGUUGUAAAGCACUUUCAGUGGGGAAGAAAGCCUUGGGGCUAAUACCCUCGAGGAAGGACAUCACCCACAGAAGAAGCACCGGCUAACUCCGUGCCAGCAGCCGCGGUAAUACGGAGGGUGCGAGCGUUAAUCGGAAUUACUGGGCGUAAAGCGCGCGUAGGCGGUCUGAUAAGCCGGUUGUGAAAGCCCCGGGCUCAACCUGGGAACGGCAUCCGGAACUGUCAGGCUAGAGUGCAGGAGAGGAAGGUAGAAUUCCCGGUGUAGCGGUGAAAGGCGUAGAGAUCGGGAGGAAUACCAGUGGCGAAGGCGGCCUUCUGGACUGACACUGACGCUGAGGUGCGAAAGCGUGGGUAGCAAACAGGAUUAGAUACCCGAGUAGUC
rnacentral:rRNA from 1 species